AGUGAACGCUGGCGGUAGGCCUAACGCAUGCAAGUCGAACGGCAGCACAGUAAGAGCUUGCUCUUACGGGUGGCGAGUGGCGGACGGGUGAGGAAUACAUCGGAAUCUACUUUUUCGUGGGGGAUAAUGUAGGGAAACUUACGCUAAUACCGCAUACGACCUACGGGUGAAAGCAGGGGAUCUUCGGACCUUGCGCGAUUGAAUGAGCCGAUGUCGGAUUAGCUAGUUGGCGGGGUAAAGGCCCACCAAGGCGACGAUCCGUAGCUGGUCUGAGAGGAUGAUCAGCCACACUGGAACUGAGACACGGUCCAGACUCCUACGGGAGGCAGCAGUGGGGAAUAUUGGACAAUGGGCGCAAGCCUGAUCCAGCCAUACCGCGUGGGUGAAGAAGGCCUUCGGGUUGUAAAGCCCUUUUGUUGGGAAAGAAAAGCAGCAGGUUAAUACCCCGCUGUUCUGACGGUACCCAAAGAAUAAGCACCGGCUAACUUCGUG
rnacentral:rRNA from 1 species